AACGAACGCUGGCGGCAGGCCUAACACAUGCAAGUCGAGCGGACCCUUCGGGGUUAGCGGCGGACGGGUGAGUAACGCGUGGGAAUAUGCCCUUCUCUACGGAAUAGUCCUGGGAAACUGGGGGUAAUACCGUAUACGCCCUUUGGGGGAAAGAUUUAUCGGGGAAGGAUUAGCCCGCGUUGGAUUAGGUAGUUGGUGGGGUAAUGGCCUACCAAGCCGACGAUCCAUAGCUGGUUUGAGAGGAUGAUCAGCCACACUGGGACUGAGACACGGCCCAGACUCCCACGGGAGGCAGCAGUGGGGAAUCUUAGACAAUGGGGGCAACCCUGAUCUAGCCAUGCCGCGUGAGUGAUGAAGGCCUUAGGGUUGUAAAGCUCUUUCAGCUGGGAAGAUAAUGACGGUACCAGCAGAAGAAGCCCCGGCUAACUCCGUG
rnacentral:rRNA from 1 species